rnacentral:rRNA from 1 species
AUUGAACGCUGGCGGCAGGCCUAACACAUGCAAGUCGAACGAGCGGCGGACGGGUGAGUAAUGUCUGGGAAACUGCCUGAUGGAGGGGGAUAACUACUGGAAACGGUAGCUAAUACCGCAUACCAUCGGAUGUGCCCAGAUGGGAUUAGCUAGUAGGUGGGGUAAUGGCUCACCUAGGCGACGAUCCCUAGCUGGUCUGAGAGGAUGACCAGCCACACGGGAACUUAGACACGGUCCAGACGCCUACGGGAGGCAGCAGGGGGGAAUAUUGCACAAUGGGCGCAAGCCUGAUGCAGCCAUGCAGCGUGUAUGAAGAAGGCCUUCGGGUUGUAAAGUACUUUCAGCGAGGAGGCGUUACCCGCAGAAGAAGCACCGGCUAACUCCGUGCCAGCAGCCGCGGUAAUAC